AAAUAGGCAGCUAUGGAAAGGGUAGUAGAACUGGAACAUAGAGCAGUUGAGGCAUCCACUGUCCUCGCUAGGAUGCAGAGAAUUGCAGAUGAGAGGACAAAAAAGGCAGCAGAACUUUAGCAGAAGGUGGCACUGCUCGAGUGCAUCUCUAAAUCAAGAGCUGCAAGAUAUGGAAGCACUUGCUCUGCGUGGACAAAACAAAUCCCCAGAAGAGGCAAAUCAAAUGAUUCAGGUA